rnacentral:rRNA from 1 species
CCCUUAGAUGUUCUGGGCCGCGCGCGCGCUACACUGACGAAUGCAACGAGCUUAUAACCUUGGCCGAAAGGUCUGGGUAAUCUCCAAAUUUCGUCGUGAUGGGGAUAGAUUAUUGCAAUUAUUAAUCUUCAACGAGGAAUGCCUAGUAAGCGCAAGUCAUCAGCUUGCGUUGAUUACGUCCCUGCCCUUUGUACACACCGCCCGUCGCUCCUACCGAUUGAAUGGUCCGGUGAAGCGUUCGGACCGUGGCCUUUGGACGGUUCGCCGUCUGUUGGCUGCGGGAAGUUCGUUAAACCUUAUCAUUUAGAGGAAGGAGAAGUCGUAACA